UACGAAGGGGGCUAGCGUUGUUCGGAAUUACUGGGCGUAAAGCGCACGUAGGCGGAUAUUUAAGUCAGGGGUGAAACCCCAGAGCUCAACUCUGGAACUGCCUUUGAUACUGGGUAUCUUGAGUAUGGAAGAGGUGAGUGGAAUUCCGAGUGUAGAGGUGAAAUUCGUAGAUAUUCGGAGGAACACCAGUGGCGAAGGCGGCUCACUGGUCCAUUACUGACGCUGAGGUGCGAAAGCGUGGGGAGCAAACAGG
rnacentral:rRNA from 1 species